UACGAAGGGGGGCUAGCGUUGCUCGGAAUUACUGGGCGUAAAGCGCACGUAGGCGGAUUGUUAAGUCAGGGGUGAAAUCCUGGAGCUCAACUCCAGAACUGCCUUUGAUACUGGCAAGCUUGGAGUCCGGGAGAGGUGAGUGGAACUGCGAGUGUAGAGGUGAAAUUCGUAGAUAUUCGCAAGAACACCAGUGGCGAAGGCGGCUCACUGGCCCGGUACUGACGCUGAGGUGCGAAAGCGUGGGGAGCAAACAGG
rnacentral:rRNA from 1 species